CAAGUGUAUUGCAAAUUGAACGUCCUUGAUAAGUGCUUCUCUGGCAAAAAGUUCGCGCAUGAGGUGGCUCUUUCAGUUCUGUAAAUGAAAGUUUUCAGAAAGCUCUUAUAAAAGUGUAAAAAGAAGAUCAAGGGGAGACAAGUGAGGAGACUCGUGUGAACCGGAUCUUAUAGUGGUGGCAGCUGUCGAGGGAACACGUCGACAACUUCUCUCCUCUCACACAGUAAGCUUGCAUAAAAAGAAGCUCACUGGAGGUUAGAAUUAUUCUCCAGCCAAAAACUGUUCCAAAAAAAGAAUAAUAUAUAAGCUCAGUACUACUGUUUAAUUGCACAUCUCCUGUUAUUUAUGCAAGCAAUCUCCGUGCCGUUUCAAGAACACUUCCAGAUUUUUGGGAUCGUAGAAUAAUUGCCAAGCAAUACAGGAAACAUAAGCAACGUGACUGGAAUUUCAUUAAACCUGCACCGUACCAUAUGAUCAGCACGUGCUCGCCAAAUUUCUCCAGUUUAUAUGACUGGCAGAAUCCUGACAUGUGUUCACUAGGAUUGCAGAAAGAGAAGUAUAAAAAGCUUAGGAAUAAUGUAAAGUAGACAAUUUUCAUCUGUAUAUUUCACCGUGAAAUAAUCUUUAUGAAUAAGAAUAUCAGAAGAGAAGGAUAUUUUUUAUCCAGAGGAUGCUUCGAAUUUUCAUCAGAAAGGAAGAAAGCAAGUGGUCUUGUUGAAUAGGAAGGAAACAGGAUUCAAAGGAGGCACGAGACCAGAGUCAGAUGGUCUUUAUGGUUCUUGAAUGGCGACAAGUGCUUCUCACAAUGUAGAUCCUCUUGACUUGCUAAUAAAAGUACUUAACCGCGCCACUCUUCCCGUUUUACCUUUCAUGCUGUGCUUCUAUAGAUUAUACGUCAUUAUUGGCAACAAGUUAUUCUGAAACUGUUAUAAUACUGAUAUCAAUAUUUAUCUUUUUUGUUUGACGAUCUUUCAAAACAACAUAAAAUUAUUUGUACUCUGUCAGUGAAUAAAUUCAAACUGAUUGAUAUAAUCUACAAAAUGUUCAUAAUUAUAUCUGUAAAUGUUCAUAACUAUAUCCAAUUAUAUAAACUGUUUCCUUGCGAAAAAGAUAAAGAACAUUUCAGUUUGUGCCAAAGUGUCAGCCAAGCCAAGUGAAGCACGUGGCAAGAUAUAUAGAUAACGGUAUGCGCGAACAUCAGAAAACCAGUAGCUAAUAAUCUGCCUAUUGUUUUAAAAGCAAAUAUUUUUCUAGGUUCCUAAUCCGCAAUACGGAUUACAAGUCUUUUACUGUGACUUGCUUUAAUAUUUACAGUCUACCAAGUCUUUUCAAUAUACCUGCUGCUUCGUCUACGAUUAUCAUCAAACAACAUCAACGGCGUCAGUUUUACAAAUUGUUUUAAAUUCGCAAUUCUACAAGCGAUCUAGAGAAAUUAACAAGAUUAACAGACAAGUUAAAUAAUUGAAACAAUGUAAUGGACCGGUAUAGUUAAUAUGUACCAAGUUUAACAAAUCUCUUCAGUAUCAAAUUUGACUAGUUCGAUCUAGAAUGAACCGUGUUAUUUCUAAUACUAAUUCUAUUGUUAA
rnacentral:misc_RNA from 1 species